ACUCUCACCCGCCGGAGCAACUGGUGGAAGUCAAGAAAAGUCUCUCGGGGCUGGGGGAGGGGAUUGUAGGGGUGUGUGUGACAGAGGCCUCAAAAAUCUGGCUGGGGGUGCUAAGGCAAGCCCAUCUGCGCACUGUGCCCUGAGGUGCAAGAGGAUGCAGGGUGGAAGUCGUCCCAAGAGAGUCCAGGGAUCAAGUGGGCAUGCCCUUUUAGCCUUGGCACGAAAUGGAGCAGAAAAAGAGCCGGAUGCGGAUUACUGUGGUGCCCUAGGCUCAGAUUCUGCUGAGUCACUGUGACUGCGGAUUUGGAAGGCUGAGAGUCCUGGGGAGACAUGCUCCGUGGAGACGAAUUUGUUUCUUCCUUUGCAAGAUUCAGAUUCUGCACUUGGGGGCCCAUACAACACACUUCCCUGGGUGCAUGCCACUGCACCACCCCUGCUCCUCAAGGCAGGUAAUGGGGGAACUAAUUGGUUUUGUUUCCCAUGAGCUAAGGCAAGGCUGGUGUGGAGAUAGCAGUUAUAGGGAAGCAUAUUAAAGAAUAGCCAAAACGGGACCAGGCGCGGUGGCUCACGCCUGUAAUCCCAGCAAUAUGGGAGGCCGAGGUGGGUGGAUCACCUGAGGUCAGGAGUUCGAGACCAGCCUGGCCAACCUGGUGAAGCCCCGUCUGUACUGAAAAAUUAGCUGGGCGUGAUGGCGGGCGCCUGUAAGUCCCAGCUACUCGGGAGGCUGAGGCAGGAGAAUCGCUUGAACCCGGAAGGCGGAGGUUGCAGUGGGUCGAGAUCGUGCCACUGCACUCCCGCCUGGGUGACGAAGUGAGACUCCGUCUCAAAAAAAACUCUAUAAAGUAAAAGUUACUGUAAAGAAGGAGAUAUACUCUCAGUAGGUGAAGGAAAAAGAACUAGAGCUUUAAAGUGGUAAUUAACCAUCAGAAGAAUCACAGAUGGGGGAGGUGAGGAUGACACAGGGCCCUUCCGUUGUCCCUCCAGUGCAAAAGUUAAGGAGGCACCAGAAAACUGGUUUCCAACUCCCGACCUCAGGUGAUCCUACCGCCUCGGCCUCCCGAAGUGCUGGGAUUACAGGCAUGAGCCACCGCGCCCGGCCCCAUCGUGACAUUUUUGCAUUCAUUUUGAUGCAACAAGAGAGGACUAUAUUAUUUACACGUAUUUACAAAUUACUUUGGGAGGCUGAGGCAGGAGGAUCACUUGAGCCCAAGAGUUUGAGAAAAGCCUGAGCAACAAAGUGAGACCCCAUCUGACAAAAUAGUAUAAAAGGACGUUUUAAAAAAGGGCUAGGUAGGCAGCCCUGUCCAAUAGAACUUUCCCUAUCUGUGCUGCCCAAGUAAGGUAGCCACAAGCUUCAAGUAGCUAUUGAGCACUGGAAAUGUGGCCAGCAGCCAGGCGUGGUGGCAGGCGCCUGUGUCCCAGCUACUCAGGAUCUGAGGCAAAAAGAUCGCUUGAGCCCAGGAAUUCAAGGCCGCAGUGGUGGACUCAAUAAAAGAAAAAAAAUGGAAAUUAAAAAAAAAAAAGUGGCCAGUGGACUGAGGAAGUGAAGUUUUAAUUGUAAUUAAAUUAAUUUUUUAAAAAUUUAUUUUUUGAGGCGGGGUUUCACUGUGUCGCCCAGGCUGGAGUGCAGUGGCAGGAUCUUGGCUCACUGCAAUCUCCAUCUCCUGGGUUUAAGCAAUUCUUGUGCCUCAGCUUCCUGAGUAGCUAGGACUACGGGCAUGCACCACCACAGUCAGCCACUUUUUGUAUUAUUCGUAGAGAUGAGUUUCACCAUGUUAGCCAGGCUGGUCUCAAACUCCUGACCUCAGGUGAUCUGCCCACCUCGGCCUCCCAAAGUGCUAGGAUUACAGGCAUGUGCCACUGCGCCUGGCUUUAAUUAAAUUUAGAUAGCCACAUGUCACUAGUGUUUGGAAAGACCUGAGCUGGUUCAGAUCGAGGCCGCAGUGUGCUGGCUAUUCUAUCUCUCACUCUUCUAGUGAGAUUGUUUUCUCAAUCACCAGUCUCCCUGACCCAUCCAGAGGUGGGGCUCAAAGCCACAAAGCUCAAGUGUCGUGUUCGGUCGUUGGUUUCCAGCAUGGCCAGUUCCCAUCCUCAGUCAUCUUGUUAACAUGAACUAUAUAGGGGCCCAUCCCAAGUCAUCUCAUUAGCAUAAACCAUCAGGAGUGGUCUGAGAAGCCCACAAUGAAUAAGAUGGACACUCCUAUCAUUUGGGAUUUAGGGGCUCAGGGGCAUGAUGAUAGUUCACUGCAGCCUCGACCUUCUGGAGUCAAGCAAUCCUCCUGCCCCAGCCUCCUGAGUAGCUGAGAUGACAGGUGCAUGCCACCGUGCCUGGCUAAUUUUUUUUUAUUUUUUUGGUAGAGAUAGGGUCUCACUAUGUUGCCCAAGUUGAGCUCAGGAAUUGGAGACCAGCCUGGCCAAUGUGGUGAAACCCCGUCUCCACUAAAAAUACAAAAACAUGAGCUGGGUGUGGUGGUGGGCGCCUCCAGUCCCAGCUACUCGGGAGGCUGAGGCACGAGAAUCGCUUGAAUUCAGGAGGCAGAGGUUGCAGUGAGCUGAGAUUGUGCCACUGCACUCCAGCCUGGGCAACAAGAGCGAGACUCCAUCUCAAGAAAAAAAGAAAAAGAAAAAGCUGCUGUGGAGCAUGGGCGAGCACUGCUGCCUGGACAAAGACCGAGGGUCCUCGGGAGGGCAGUACUGAUGUACAGGUUUCCAGCAGGUCGGCGUGUGUGUUCUCUCCUGCAGGUCUGCAGCCAGGCGUGCCAGGAGAGGGGGAGUCUGAGGGAUUGAUGUAGGUUGGGAAAGCAUGAUGAGAGGAGACAGAGUGGGGGCUGUGAAGAAGAGAGCGACUUGAUGGUGGCGGUAGUUACACAGAUGUAUGUAUUUAUUAAAAUCCGCUGAAAAGUACAUUUUAAAUACAAGCAUUUUAUUGUAUGCAUGUUAUUCCUCAACAAAGUCCAUUUUUAAAAAGUAGAGUGGUUGGAGUGAUGACGAACAUUAUGAAAGGGCUUAUUGGCAGAGAAAAAGUAGAGGGGUCCAGAGACUCAAGUUCCUAACGAGGCUGAAGUAAGAGUGGGGGAUUAAAUAAGGGCAAAAACUGAGAGAAUAAAAAAAGUGGGUUGUUUGGGGCCAGGUGCGGUGGCUUAUACCUGUAAUCCCAGCACUUUGGGAGGCCAAGGCAGGGGGAUCGCUUGAGCCCAGGAGUUCAAGACCAGCCUGGGCAACAUAGUGAGACCCCCCCGCAACCCCCCCCACCUCUGCCAUCUCUAAAAAAAUUAAAAAUUAGCUAGGUGUGGUGGUGUGCACCUGUGGAUCCAGCUACUAAGGAGGCUGAGAUGGGUGGAUCAUCUGAGCCUGGGAAGUCGACGCUAUAGUGAGCUGUGACUGUACCACUGCACUCCAACCUAGGCAGCACAGUGACACCCUAUCUAAAAACAAAAAGAAAAAACAAAAACCCAAGUGGGUUGAUUGGGAAACACAGGAGAUAGAAGUUAAAAUCAUGGGGAAACAUCAGUCAAAUCACAGUGUGGGACAUUCUACAGGACAACCAACCUGGUUUAUCCCAUAAUUCAGUGCUAUAAGAAAAAUGAAGGAGUGUAUAUUGAUCAGGAUUUUCCAGAGAAACAGAACCAAUUGAAUUUCUAUAAAUAUAUAAAAAGCAAUAUAUUGCUGGGUGCAGGGCUCACACCUUGUGAUGGUUAAUAAUGAGUGUCAACUUGAUUGGAUUGAAGGAUGCAAAGUAUUGAUCCUGGGUGUGUCUGUGAGGGCGUUACCAAAGGAGGUGAACAUUUGAGUCAGUGGGACUGGGAAGGGCGGACCCAUCCUCAAUCUGGGUGGGCACCAACUAAUCAGCUGCCAGUGCGGCCAGAAUAUAAAGCAGGCAGAAAAACGUGAAAAGACUAGACUAGGCCUGGUGCCGUGGCUCACGCCUGUAAUCCCAGCACUUUGGGAGGCCGAGACGGGUGGAUCACUUGAAGUCAGGAGUUCAAGACCAGCCUGGCCAAUAUGGCAAAACUCAUCUCUGCUAAAAAUACAAAAAAAUUUAGCUGGGUGUUGUGGUGCAUGCCUAUAAUGCCAGCUACUCAGGAGGCUGAGGCAGGAGAAUAGCUUGAACCCAGGAAGCAGAGGUUGCGGUGAGCCGAGAUCACACCGCUGUACUCCAACCUGGGUGACAGAGACUCACCUCACCAAAAAAAAAAAAAAAAAUAAGUGGGGCUAGACUGGCCUAGCCUCCCAGUCUACAUCUUUCUUCUGUGCUGGAUGUUUCCUGCCCUCCAACAUCAGACUCCAAGUUCUUCAGCUUUGGGACUCGGACUGGCUUCCUUGCUCCUCAGCUUACAGAUGGCCUAUUGUGGGGCCUUGUGAUUGUGUGAGUUAAUACUACAUAUGUCUAUCUUAUUACUUCUGUCCCUCUACAGAAACCUGACUAAUACACACCUGUAAUCCCAGCACUUUGGGAGGGCAAGGCAGGCGGAUCCCUUGAGGCCAGAAAUUUGAGACCAGCCUGGGCAACACAGCAAGACCCCAUCUCUACAAAACAUAAUUUUAAAUAAAAUUAGGCCCGUGUGGUAUUAUGCGUCUGUAGUCCCCCUCACUUGGGAGGCUGAGGUGGGAGGAUUGCUUGAGCCCAGACAGUGAAGGCUGCAGUGAGCCAAAGAUCUCACCAUCGCACCCCAGUUUGGGUGGCAGAGUGAGAUCCUGCCUCAAAGAAAAAAAAAAACAAACAGGUGUGGUGGCUCACACCUGUAAUUCCAACACUUUGGGAGGCUGGGGCGGGCAGAUCACUUGAGGUCAGGAGUUUGAGACCAGCCUGGCCAAUAUGGCAAAACUCCAUCUCUACUAAAAAUAUGAAAAUUAGCUGGGCGUGGUGGCAUGUGCCUGUGAUCCCAGCACUUUGGGAGGCCCAGGCGGGCAGAUCACGAGGUCAGGAGUUCAAGACCAGCCUGGCCAACAUGGUGAAACCCCGUCUCUAUUAAAAAUACAAAAAUUAGCCAGGUGUGAUGGUACAUGCCUAUAGGCCCAGCUACUCGGCAGGAGGAGAAUUGCUUGAACCCUGGAGACAGAGGUUGCAGCAAGCCGAGAUCACACCACUGCACUCCAGCCUGGGCAACAGAGGGAGACUCCAUCUCAAAAAAAAAAAAAAAAGCUGUAUUUUAUGAGGGAUUGGCUCAUUUGAUUCUGGAGGCUGGGAAGUCACACAAUCUGCUGUCUGUAAGCAGGAGGCUGGGGAAAGCUGGUGGUGUGGUUUUGGUCCAAACUCAAGAGUGAGAACCAGGGGAGCCAGCGUUGCAAGUGCCACUCCCAGUCCAAAGGCCCAAGAACCAGGAACAGCAGUGCCCGAGAGCAAGAGAAGAUGAUGUCCCACCUCAAGAAAAGAGUAAGCAAAUCUACCCGGCCUCCUCCUCUCUAUUGUACUCGGGCCUUUGGUGGCGUGGAUGAUGCCUGCCCACCUUGGUGAGGGCAAUUUUCCUUAAUGCAGCCUGCCGAUCCAAAUGCUCAUCUCUCUCCCAGAAACGCCCUCCCAGACACACCUAGAAACAAUGUUCCACCAGCUAUCUGAGCAUUCCUUGCCCAGUCAAGCUGACAUGUAAAAUUAACCAUCAGUUAAUUGUGUUAAAGAAUGUAAGAGAUUUAACAAGAUAAAACAAGCAAAUGUCAUAUGCAGACAUUGUUUGGAUCUUGAUUCAAACAAACAUCUAUAAAAAGACAUCUUUGGACGGGUGCAGUGGCUCACACCUGUCAUCCCAGCACUUUGCGAGGCAGAGAUGGGCGGAUCACCUGAGGUGAGGAGUUUGACACCAGCCUAGACAACAUGAUGAAACCCCGUCUCUACUAAAAGUACAAAAAUUAGCCAGGUGUGGUGGUGCACACCUGUAAUCCCAGCUACUGAGGAGGCAGAGACACAAGAAUCCCUUGAACCUGGGAGGUGGAGGUUGCAGUGAGCCGAGAUUGUGCCGCUGCGCUCCAGCCUGGGUGACAGAACAAGAUUCUGUCUCAAA
rnacentral:lncRNA from 1 species